GGAGAUGGUUCUACAGACUAGGCCUCACAGCAGAAAAAGCCCUCACCUUGGUUGCUCUCAGAUGUACUCCAGCAGGGUGUGGAACAAUUGGAAGGGCCUCAUCCUGAGAUGCUUAUCACCUGACAGUCUCAGCAGACAAACUAAAGACAUUAUCAUCAAGGAGACACUAACCUAUCCACUGGUCCCAAGAGAUGCCCUGCGCUUGUCAAGGAUGCAGCAUUGCUAAGCCACAUGGAGGCCAUGCACAUCUGUGCCCUGCUUCCCUUUUCUGUAGAUUAUGGGACUGAGUCACAAAGGCUCCUCACCAGUACUAAAGUUUACUGUAAGAAAAAUGUUCCCAGAUAUCUGCAGAUAUAGACUCUGUAUAUCUUCACUAAAGACCUGUCUCCUGGAGAAUGUUAAAAACCAUUCCACUUAAAGUUGAUUCAGCGUGUAAA